rnacentral:rRNA from 1 species
UUAGCACCUAAACGGCGAAACUGCGAAUGGCUCAUUAAAUCAGUUAUCGUAUAUUUGAUAGUACCUACUACAUGGAUAACCGUGGUAAUUCUAGAGCUAAUACAUGCUUAAAAUCCCGACUUCGGAAGGGAUGUAUUUAUUAGAUUAAAAACCAAUGCCCUUCGGGGCUCACUGGUGAUUCAUAAUAACUUCUCGAAUCGCAUGGCCUUGCGCCGGCGAUGGUUCAUUCAAAUUUCUGCCCUAUCAACUUUCGACGGCUGGGUCUUGGCCAGCCGUGGUUACAACGGGUAACGGAGGGUUAGGGCUUGACCCCGGAGAAGGAGCCUGAGAAACGGCUACUACAUCCAAGGAAGGCAGCAGGCGCGCAAAUUACCCAAUCCCGAUACGGGGAGGUAGUGACAAUAAAUACUGAUACAGGGCUCUUUUGGGUCUUGUAAUUGGAAUGAGUACAAUUUAAAUCCCUUAACGAGGAACAAUUGGAGGGCAAGUCUGGUGCCAGCAGCCGCGGUAAUUCCAGCUCCAAUAGCGUAUAUUAAAGUUGUUGCAGUUAAAAAGCUCGUAGUUGAACCUUGGGCCUGGCUGGCCGGUCUGCCUCACCGCAUGCACUGGUCCGGCCGGGCCUUUCCCUCUGGGGAGCCGCAUGCCCUUCACUGGGUGUGUCGGGGAACCAGGACUUUUACUGUGAAAAAAUUAGAGUGUUCAAAGCAGGCCUAUGCUCGAAUACAUUAGCAUGGAAUAAUAGAAUAGGACGUCGCGGUUCUAUUUUGUUGGUUUCUAGGACCGCCGUAAUGAUUAAUAGGGACAGUCGGGGGCAUCAGUAUUCAAUCGUCAGAGGUGAAAUUCUUGGAUCGAUUGAAGACUAACUACUGCGAAAGCAUUUGCCAAGGAUGUUUUCAUUAAUCAGGAACGAAAGUUAGGGGAUCGAAAACGAUCAGAUACCGUUGUAGUCUUAACCAUAAACUAUGCCGACUAGGGAUCGGGCGACGUUAAUUUUUGACUCGCUCGGCACCUUACACGAAAGUAAAG